AUGAACGCUAGCUACAGGCUUAACACAUGCAAGUCGAGGGGCAGCAUGGUCUUAGCUUGCUAAGGCCGAUGGCGACCGGCGCACGGGUGAGUAACGCGUAUCCAACCUGCCUUACACUCUUGGACAGCCUUCUGAAAGGGAGAUUAAUACAAGAUGUUAUCAUGAGUAAGCAUUUUCGCAUGAUUAAAGGUUUACCGGUGUAAGAUGGGGAUGCGUUCCAUUAGAUAGUAGGCGGGGUAACGGCCCACCUAGUCUUCGAUGGAUAGGGGUUCUGAGAGGAAGGUCCCCCACAUUGGAACUGAGACACGGUCCAAACUCCUACGGGAGGCAGCAGUGAGGAAUAUUGGUCAAUGGACGAGAGUCUGAACCAGCCAAGUAGCGUGAAGGAUGAAGGUUCUAUGGAUUGUAAACUUCUUUUAUACGGGAAUAAACGAAUCCACGCGUGGGUUUUUGCAUGUACCGUAUGAAUAAGGAUCGGCUAACUCCGUGCCAGCAGCCGCGGUAAUACGGAGGAUCCGAGCGUUAUCCGGAUUUAUUGGGUUUAAAGGGAGCGUAGAUGGGUUGUUAAGUCAGUUGUGAAAGUUUGCGGCUCAACCGUAAAAUUGCAAUUGAUACUGGCAGUCUUGAGUACAGUUGAGGUAGGCGGAAUUCGUGGUGUAGCGGUGAAAUGCUUAGAUAUCACGAAGAACUCCGAUUGCGAAGGCAGCUUACUAACCUGUAACUGACAUUGAUGCUCGAAAGUGUGGGUAUCAAACAGGAUUAGAUACCCUGGUAGUCCACACGGUAAACGAUGAAUACUCGCUGUAGGCGAUAUACGGCCUGCGGCCAAGCGAAAGCAUUAAGUAUUCCACCUGGGGAGUACGCCGGCAACGGUGAAACUCAAAGGAAUUGACGGGGGCCCGCACAAGCGGAGGAACAUGUGGUUUAAUUCGAUGAUACGCGAGGAACCUUACCCGGGCUUAAAUUGCAACCGAAUAUGGCGGAAACGCUAUAGCUAGCAAUAGCGGUUGUGAAGGUGCUGCAUGGUUGUCGUCAGCUCGUGCCGUGAGGUGUCGGCUUAAGUGCCAUAACGAGCGCAACCCUUGCCGAUAGUUACUAACAGGUUAUGCUGAGGACUCUGUCGGGACUGCCAUCGUAAGAUGUGAGGAAGGUGGGGAUGACGUCAAAUCAGCACGGCCCUUACGUCCGGGGCUACACACGUGUUACAAUGGGGGGUACAGAGGGCUGCUACCACGCAAGUGGAUGCCAAUCCCAAAAACCUCUCUCAGUUCGGAUUGAAGUCUGCAACCCGACUUCAUGAAGCUGGAUUCGCUAGUAAUCGCGCAUCAGCCACGGCGCGGUGAAUACGUUCCCGGGCCUUGUACACACCGCCCGUCAAGCCAUGGGAGCCGGGGGUACCUGAAGUGCGUAACCGCAAGGAGCGCCCUAGGGUAAAACUGGUGACUGGGGCU
rnacentral:rRNA from 1 species